rnacentral:rRNA from 1 species
CCUACGGGUGGCAGCAGUAGGGAAUAUUGCUCAAUGGUGGAAACCCUGAACCAGCAACGCCGCGUGGAGGAUGAAGGUUUUCGGAUUGUAAACUCCUUUUGUUAGAGAAGAUAAUGACGGUAUCUAACGAAUAAGCACCGUCUAACUCCGUGCCAGCAGCCGCGGUAAUACGGAGGGUGCAAGCGUUACUCGGAAUCACUGGGCGUAAAGAGCGCGUAGGCGGGAUAGCAAGUCAGAUGUGAAAUCCUAUGGCUUAACCAUAGAACUGCAUUGGGAACUGGUAUUCUAGAGUGUGGGGGAGGUAGGUGGAAUUCGUGGUGUAGGGGUAAAAUCCGUAGAGAUCAAGAGGAAUACUGAUUGCGAAGGCAACCUGCUAGAACAUAACUGACGCUGAUGCGCGAAAGCGUGGGGAGCAAACAGGAUUAGAUACCCUUGUAGUC